rnacentral:rRNA from 1 species
CCUACGGGAGGCAGCAGUGAGGAAUAUUGGUCAAUGGCCGCAGGGCUGAACCAGCCAAGUCGCGUGAGGGAUGACGGUCCUAUGGAUUGUAAACCUCUUUUGUCAGGGAGCAAAGGGCGCCACGUGUGGCGUUUUGCGAGUACCUGAAGAAAAAGCAUCGGCUAACUCCGUGCAAGCAGCCGCGGUAAUACGGAGGAUGCGAGCGUUAUCCGGAUUUAGUGGGUUUAAAGGGUGCGCAGGCGGAAUGUCAAGUCAGCGGUGAAAUUUCGGGGCUCAACCCCGUCGUGCCGUUGAAACUGGCGUUCUUGAGUGAGCGAGAGGUAUGCGGAAUGCGUGGUGUAGCGGUGAAAUGCAUAGAUAUCACGCAGAACUCCGAUUGCGAAGGCAGCAUACCGGCGCUCAACUGACGCUCAUGCACGAAAGCGUGGGUAUCGAACAGGAUUAGAUACCCCAGUAGUC